rnacentral:rRNA from 1 species
CCUACGGGAGGCAGCAGUGAGGAAUAUUGGUCAAUGGGCGCGAGCCUGAACCAGCCAAGUAGCGUGAAGGAUGACUGCCCUACGGGUUGUAAACUUCUUUUAUAAAGGAAUAAAGUGAGGCACGUGUGCCUUUUUGUAUGUACUUUAUGAAUAAGGAUCGGCUAACUCCGUGCCAGCAGCCGCGGUAAUACGGAGGAUCCGAGCGUUAUCCGGGUUUAUUGGGGUUAAAGGGAGCGUAGAUGGGUGGGUAAGUCCGUUGUGAAAGUUUUAGGCGAAACCGUAAAAUUGCAAUUGAUACUGGCAGUCUUGAGUACAGUUGAGGUAGGCGGAAUGCGUGGUGUAGCGGUGAAAUGCUUAGAUAUCACGAAGAACUCCGAUUGCGAAGGCAGCUUACUA